GAUGAAGAACGUAGUGAAAUGCGAUAAGUAAUGUGAAUUGCAGAAUUCAGUGAAUCAUCGAAUCUUUGAACGCACAUUGCGCCCCUUGGUAUUCCGAGGGGCAUGCCUGUUCGAGCGUCAUUAUAACCCCUCAAGCUCAGCUUGGUGUUGGGGACUGCUGCACUGGCAGCCCUUAAAAUCAGUGGCGGCGCCAUCUGGCUCUAAGCGUAGUAAUUCUUCUCGCUAUGGAGUCCUGGUGGAUGCUUGCCAUCAACCCCCAAUUUUUCUAUGGUUGACCUCGGAUCAGGUAGGGAUACCCGCUGAACUUAAGCAUAUCAAUAAGCGGAGGA
rnacentral:misc_RNA from 1 species